UCGAGAAUUUUUCUCAAUGGGCGAAAGCUUGAAGGAGCGACGCCGCGUGGGGGAUGAAGGGCUUCGGCCUGUAAACCCCUGUCAUUUGCGAACAAACCUGCUCAUCUAACACAUGGGUAGCUGAUAGUAGCGAAAGAGGAAGGGACGGCUAACUCUGUGCCAGCAGCCGCGGUAAUACAGAGGUCCCAAGCGUUGUUCGGAUUCACUGGGCGUAAAGGGUGCGUAGGUGGCGGGAAAAGUUUGAUGUGAAAUCUCCGGGCUUAACCCGGAAAUGGCAUUGAAUACUGUCUUGCUCGAGGGUCGGAGGGGAGACUGGAAUUCUCGGUGUAGCAGUGAAAUGCGUAGAUAUCGAGAGGAACACCAGUGGCGAAGGCGACUUCCUGGUCCAAAUCUGACGCUAAAGCGCGAAAGCAUGGGGAGCAAACA
rnacentral:rRNA from 1 species